AGCUGCGCUACCCACUUCUCCACCCCAAGCAGAUGUCUCAGCCUUACCUUGAUUUUCUCUCACAAAUCACCCCUCUUUCUCUAUUCCCAGCCAACACCCUUGCGUCAUCUUCAAUUUUCCUCUAGUAAAAGGUGCCACGUUUCUCCUAUUCUUCACACACAGUCAACGUACAUCUCAUCUCUCUUCUUCCUUCACCACAAUAGGUGCGUCCCACCCGCUUAAUAUAAGCAGUGCCUGCUUCUCAGUUCGCACCCACUUUUUACAAGGCGCACUCACUUCUCCACCAGAACAACCACGUCUUCCAUUCUCCCGGCAUGCUGCGCCAAAGCAGGCACUUGGCCUCCUUUGGCUCCCAACACACAACACGUCUCUAUUCUCUUCCAUUAACAGCAGUGUGCAUCCACUCCCUUUCACAGUCAUGCCUUCAAUUUUCCCCCAUAGAGACAUGUUUCAGCAGCACACGCACGCGUCAUCCUUUCCUGUUCACAAUCACGCGCUUCUCUUCCUCUAACUGCAGAGCCAUGCAUUUCCAUUAAUCUUCACACAACAGUACCAUUUUUUUCAUCUUCACAACAGCAGCGUGCGCCUUACUCUCCUUCACCCUUCAUCUUAAAGCCGCGUCUCCAUUUCAAGCAGCACAUCAUCCUUCUAGAAACAAAGCAGCAAAAACACCCACACUACUUCUCCUUUUUUUUAAGGGUACUUCAGUAUUUUGAUGGCUAAGGGGGUGGUAAGAUAUGCAGCAAAACCUGCACAAUUUAAUCGAUGAACAGGCGAAAGGCAGCACUUAUCAAAAAUUCAGAAGAAACAAUUUAGACGGAUAGAAUUUAGGGUCAAGCAGAAGAAAGGCACAUACCAGCAGCUCAUCCUCCUAAUACAAGUCCUUCAACAGAACUAUUGACAUGGCGGUCUAAAUUGUGUGUCCAUCUUUGCUUCCCAUAUUCUGUCAUAUCUUUCAGGGCUUGGAACACAUCUUUGAGGUGGUUAACAUGGUGAGGAGUGGGGAAUAAGAACAGGGUUGUUGAUAGGCUAUUUGUUAUCAAUGAAGUAAUUCAAAGUAAGACAGAUAAGAGUGACAAAAAUCUGGUAAAAGAUUCGGAUAUGUACUACAACAUGAUAUAAAUAAAGAGAAAAUAAAAAAGAUACACAAUUUUUAACA